CCUGCUGAGUAGCUGUCAGCAGCAUCGCUCCUCAGGCCCGCCGUUCCCAGCGCGCUCUGAGCCGCCAGGCCCAGCUCACCAGGUCGUUGUCAAGCAGGGCAGGGAAAGUUAAAGAGUCAGGACAACAUGAGGGUAAAGAAGGAAAGUGGCUAAAAAUAACUCCAAGGGGAGAGCGGAGUCUUCACGCCUCACAGCGACUAGCGCUGCUCUGGGAAAGAGGAGACGACAGAGACUGAGCUCUCUGUACCCCACCCCCAGCAGCCUGUGGGGUGACCUGACCUCCUCCUGUGUCCAUCAGAACCUCUUCUCCAGCUGCCAGAGCACCAGUGCCCCCUUCUGCUUUCACCUCACUGCAGGAGCCCGGCUCCUGGCCCCAUCUCAUAGAGCACACUGGGCCAGGACUGCCCCCAACAACUCCCGCACUAGGAAAUUCUGUCUGGGCCUGUAGCAAUGAAAGGAGAACGCAUCCCCUGCUUGCAGUCUGAGGAAAGGUCCUGCCUGUGGGUGAUCGGUUAGGAGAUUCCAGGCACCUGUCUGAUCACCAUGGUGCACUCCCAGUACUGGGGUUUGCUUGCAUCUCAAUGACACUCAGGAUCAGCAUCGCACUUUGCAGAAUGGACCUGAACUGUAGCAGUGGGGUGUUCUCGCUGCAGGUCGCUGCCAUUGAUCUUCAAGUCUCAUGUCCGAGAAGACUCUGCAUUUGCCUAUUAUGGAUCCAUCAUUCCAAAUGAGAAGGAAAAUCCUCAGGGGAAAUACAUGGUUCUAAAAAACCGAGCCAAACAAGCCCUCCUCAGACGGGCCGUGUGGAGAGUCCUGCUUUUUCUAAACCAGUUGCAGGUCAAUGCUAAAGUUAAAAAAAGAAAUUACAAACCAGCCCUGACACCUCGCAGAAGAAUGUGCGAGUUCCCUAUAAAGCACUGGCAUGAAUGAUUAUUCUAAUU
rnacentral:lncRNA from 1 species